rnacentral:RNase_P_RNA from 1 species
GGGAGGGGGAGGGUGGCUGACGGUGCCCGAAAGGGCGCUCAGGAAAGUCCCCCCUCCGCAAGAUAGGGGGCCCGGGGCAACCCGGGGGCCCGAGAGGGUCGGCAACGGAGCAGAAACGACACCGCCCGCACCAAAUGGGAUGAUGGGGGAUAAGCCCCUGACGUCGGCGCGGGAAAGGUUGAAACGGCCGUCCCCCCCGGAGCAAGUCCAAAGGACCGGGAUGAGUGUCUUGCGACCGGUAGGUGGGACGCUCAGUCAAAUGCCACCAGCCUUCCGUUCCGCAAGGGACGGAGGGGGAACAGAAGGGGGCUUACUCCCCCCACCC